rnacentral:rRNA from 1 species
UACGGGGGGAGCAAGCGUUGUUCGGAUUUACUGGGCGUAAAGGGCGCGUAGGCGGUCACGACAAGUCAGUUGUGAAAUCUCCGGGCUUAACUCGGAACGGUCAACUGAUACUGUCGGACUAGAGUGCAGAAGGGGCAACUGGAAUUCUCGGUGUAGCGGUGAAAUGCGUAGAUAUCGAGAGGAACACCUGCGGCGAAGGCAGCUCGCUGGGACGUUACUGACGCUGAGACGCGAAAGCGUGGGGAGCAAACAGG